GGUGCGGGUGGGUUGUUUCACUGGUGUGAUGGAUGAAAAUUUUCAGCAUAUUUUUAUGGGCUUGCAACCAAUGAAAGGAAGUCUGGAUGAAGUCGAUCUAUGCACAAUCUAAUCAGCAAGUUGACCGUUAAUGAUGAAGCAAACCAACUAGACUUUAGUACUUUGAUGGCCUCUAUUUGUUAGGGAAGGCAUAGCAUAACAUGGUGUUUAAAUUUGUGCAUAGGGCUCACCGAUCUAUCUCAUAUUAAUUGUUCAGCAGGUUUGGGAUUUCUUGCUAAGAGAGGAGCUUAAAGUCAAUCACAUAUAGAGGCAAGGCUUUGUGUCAAAUGAACUAUGCCUCCUAUAUAUCAAUUUGUCAAAUUUGUGAUGAUGCCCCUUGGACUAAAUUAUGAGAGAUAGGGUAUGCGACUUUACAAAUUAAAUCAAAGGGUCACUAUCGUUCCACUUG
rnacentral:lncRNA from 1 species